rnacentral:rRNA from 1 species
UACGGAGGGUGCGAGCGUUGUCCGGAAUCAUUGGGCGUAAAGGGCGCGUAGGUGGCCUGCUAAGCGUGCGGUGAAAGCCUGGGGCUCAACCCCGGGUCGGCCGUGCGAACUGGUGGGCUUGAGCACUGUAGAGGCAGGCGGAAUUCCGGGUGUAGCGGUGGAAUGCGUAGAGAUCCGGAAGAACACCGGUGGCGAAGGCGGCCUGCUGGGCAGUAGCUGACACUGAGGCGCGACAGCGUGGGGGAGCAAACAGG